GUGGGGAAUCUUGCGCAAUGGGCGAAAGCCUGACGCAGCCAUGCCGCGUGAAUGAUGAAGGUCUUAGGAUUGUAAAAUUCUUUCACCGGGGACGAUAAUGACGGUACCCGGAGAAGAAGCUCCGGCUAACUUCGUGCCAGCAGCCGCGGUAAUACGAAGGGGGCUAGCGUUGCUCGGAAUUACUGGGCGUAAAGGGCGCGUAGGCGGACAGCUUAGUCAGAGGUGAAAGCCCAGGGCUCAACCUUGGAAUUGCCUUUGAUACUGGCUGUCUUGAGUUUGGGAGAGGUGAGUGGAACUCCGUGUGUAGAGGUGAAAGUCGUAGAUAUUCGGAAGAACACCAGUGGCGAAGGCGACUCACUGGCCCAAUACUGACGCUGAGUCGCGAAAGCGUGGGGAGCAAACAGGAUUAGAUACCCUGGUAGUCC
rnacentral:rRNA from 1 species